rnacentral:lncRNA from 1 species
CGCCCGCCUUCCCAGCCACGGGCCCCUCUGCCCGCCGUGGCGGGUGACGCCGGCUGGUGCUGCCAGGCUCUCGGGUACGGGUCGCAGCGAGCGGCGGAUGUGAUGCUCCUGCUGCCAAGUCCUCUGCCAGGGUGAAGGGCGCUCGUCUGCCAGCUGGGAAGCCAACAGCAGCAAGCAGCUGGAGCGGGCAGCAAUGGGGUCAGCAGUGGGGUUAGCUGUGGGGUCAGCCAUGGUCAGCGGUGGCCUGAAACUGCCUGCUGGAGAGGAAGCUCAGCUCCGAAAGGCACAACGGGGGCACCUAAACCCAAAAGAGCCAUCUCUGUCCGGUCGAUGCAGUGAGAGCCCAGGUCCCGGUACCCGAUCUGCUCUGGGCCUCUCUCUGAGGAACUGCAGGACUGAACCCAGAGCCGCCUGUUGUUUAGCAACACAGAAACGUGACCUUAAUUGACUCCGCUCUCGGGUGCACUGCAUAAAUCACUUCUGGCGCGGCCAGGAAUUUCGGGACGGGCACCCCCAGCUCCGGGAGGCCGAGGGAGGAGCGCCCCGGCCCGCUCCUGGGUCCAGCCAGGAGCGCUUUCCCGCAGCCUCAAAUUUCUGCCUCGCCUCUGCCCUAGAGGCACCACAGCCGACGCCAGGCGGACUGGGCUCUCCGGGCCCUGCUCCCUCCCGACGGGCACGCUCCUCUCCCUGCGGCGCAAGGGUCCCCAUUCCCACGGGGAAGCAGGCGAAACCGUUUCCCUCUGCUCUUCGACGCCCGCGUGCAGCCGGGGCCUCCCACUUGUGUUUACAGUCCAGCUGGGCUGAUAAGACUCUCUACCCGCCGUCCCUGGGAUGCACUGGGUUAAAGUUUAUUGCAAGAUAAAUUAAACGUGAUGAAAAUGUAACAAAUCCUCCUGUGAAUGUCUGACACGCACUUAGCCGGACAACUUAUUUGUAUGAUACCAGGGGGCUGAUACAUUAAAAGAUAUAAUUUGUGGUCUCCCGAGGAGAGGUUAAGGGCCGGGAGCACGGCUCCCUUUGAGCCGCCUCCGUCUCUCCGCGUCGCCGGCCCCGGCCUUAAUCAAGUUAUCAUAUCAACCCGUGUCUCGCGGGCCCCCGCCCGCCUGCAAGGAGGCCACAUUUGCAGACAAAUUUCUAGCAGCGGGAAGUUGGCGCUCUCCUGCGUGGCGGGAUAAAGAGUACCCGCCGCCUCUGCGCGCCGCGCCGCGGGCGCACGCUGGGAGAGCAGUUCAAGGCAGCACCAUGCUGGCUCUGGAGCUGGUCGUUUAGGGCAGUGUGGGAAUAGGCCAGGGAGGCUCUUUGAGCAGGAGGGCUAUUCUUCUCCCCGAGAUAAUGCACGGCGUGCAGCAGCAAAAGCAACACAAUGAGGCCAUCUGUGAAUAGGCUGGAACAGUUACCUCCACUUUUUGUUCAGACAGGU